rnacentral:rRNA from 1 species
GACAGAGGCCUCAAGCGUUAGGCGGAAUCACUGGGCUUAAAGCGUGUGUAGGCGGAUCGUUAAGUGUCUUGUGAAAUCCCACGGCUCACCCGUGGAACUGCUGGGCAUACUGGCGAUCUUGGGCCAACUAGGGGCAGCCGGAACAAGCGGUGGAGCGGUGAAAUGCGUAGAUAUCGCUUGGAACGCCGAAGGUGAAAACAGGCUGCUGGGGUUGCGCCGACGCUGAGGCACGAAAGCCAGGGGAGCAAACGGG